ensembl:snoRNA SNORD58 Small nucleolar RNA SNORD58
CUGCAGUGAUGACCUCUUAGGACACCUUUGGAUUCUCCAUGAAAACAACCUCUGAUCUGAGCGGC